rnacentral:rRNA from 1 species
AUUGAACGCUGGCGGCAUGCCUUACACAUGCAAGUCGAACGGCAGCACGGGUGCUUGCACCUGGUGGCGAGUGGCGAACGGGUGAGUAAUACAUCGGAACAUGUCCUGUAGUGGGGGAUAGCCCGGCGAAAGCCGGAUUAAUACCGCAUACGAUCUACGGAUGAAAGCGGGGGACCUUCGGGCCUCGCGCUAUAGGGUUGGCCGAUGGCUGAUUAGCUAGUUGGUGGGGUAAAGGCCUACCAAGGCGACGAUCAGUAGCUGGUCUGAGAGGACGACCAGCCACACUGGGACUGAGACACGGCCCAGGCUCCUACGGGAGGCAGCAGUGGGGAACUUUGGACAAUGGGCGAAAGCCUGAUCCAGCAAUGCCGCGUGUGUGAAGAAGGCCUUCGGGUUGUAAAGCACUUUUGUCCGGAAAGAAAUCCUUGGCCCUAAUACGGUCGGGGGAUGACGGUACCGGAAGAAUAAGCACCGGCUAACUACGUG